rnacentral:rRNA from 1 species
AGAGUUUGAUCCUGGCUCAGGAUGAACGCUAGCUGCAGGCUUAACACAUGCAGGUCGAGGGGCAGCAUGGUCUUAGCUUGCUAAGGCCGAUGGCGACCGGCGCACGGGUGAGUAACACGUAUCCAACCUGCCGUCUACUCUUGGACAGCCUUCUGAAAGGAGAUUAAUACAAGAUGGCAUCAUGAGUCCGCAUGUUCACAUGAUUAAAGGUAUUCCGGUAGACGAUGGGGAUGCGUUCCAUUAGAUAGUAGGCGGGGUAACGGCCACCUAGUCUUCGAUGGAUAGGGGUUCUGAGAGGAAGGUCCCCACAUUGGAACUGAGACACGGUCCAACUCCUACGGGAGGCA